rnacentral:rRNA from 1 species
ACACUGACGUCGGACGCAUAUCAAUAAGCGGAGGAAAAGAAACUAACAAGGAUUCCCCUAGUAACGGCGAGUGAAGCGGGAAGAGCUCAAAUUUGAAAUCUUCAAGGGUUUCCCUUGACGAAUUGUAGUUUAUAGAAGUGUUUUCUGUUAGAGAGGUGGUAAAAGUUCUUUGGAAUAGGACAUCAUAGAGGGUGAGAAUCCCGUAUUUGAUCACUUCCUACUAACGUUGUGAUACACUUUCAACGAGUCGGAUUGUUUGGGAAUGCAGUCCAAAAUGGGUGGUAAAUUUCAUCUAAAGCUAAAUAUUGGCGAGAGACCGAUAGCGAACAAGUACCGUGAGGGAAAGAUGAAAAGAACUUUGAAAAGAGAGUUAAACAGUACGUGAAAUUGUCAAAAGGGAAGCGUUUGACACCAGUGUUGUUUUUCUGAAAUCAAUUAAAGAACUGUUUAUGCUAAGUUGUUUAGACUUUAUCAGCUAACUGUUUAGUUUUGAGCUUUUCUUUAAUGCACUUUUCAGUUAACAAGUCAACAUCAAUUUCUUUUGCUGUAAAAAAGCUUGAGGAAGGUGGCUUGAGAUUCGUCUUAAGUGUUUAUAGCCUCUUGCCUAUGCAGUCGGAGAGAUUGAGGUCUGCAGCGUAGAUCCUUCGGGGCUAAAUGCAUUUGUGCUAAGUUAUAGCAUUUUAUAGACAUCUUGUUGACUAUGAUUUGUCUUGUAGCUUACUCGCUUAUGUUAUUUUACCUACGCUUAGGAUGUUGAGCGCAUGUCUCUCUCU